AUGUACAUGCCUACAACAUAGCAUUAAUUCACCAGAUCCCAUCAGAACUCCGUAGUUAAGCACGCUCAGGCUAGAGUAGUACUAGGAUGGGUGACCUCUAGGGAAGUCCUAGUGUUUUACAUU
rfam:Picea glauca, whole genome shotgun sequence.